rnacentral:rRNA from 1 species
GAUGAACGCUGGCGGCGUGCCUAAUACAUGCAAGUCGAGCGAAUGGAUUUAGAGCUUGCUCUUAUGAAGUUAGCGGCGGACGGGUGAGUAACACGUGGGUAACCUGCCCAUAAGACUGGGAUAACUCCGGGAAACCGGGGCUAAUACCGGAUAACAUUUUGAACCGCAUGGUUCGAAAUUGAAAGGCGGCUUCGGCUGUCACUUAUGGAUGGACCCGCGUCGCAUUAGCUAGUUGGUGAGGUAACGGCUCACCAAGGCAACGAUGCGUAGCCGACAUGAGAGGGUGAUCGGCCACACUGGGACUGAGACACGGCCCAGACUCCUACGGGAGGCAGCAGUAGGGAACCUUCCGCAAUGGACGAAAGUCUGACGGAGCAACGCCGCAUGAGUGAUGAAGGCUUUCGGGUCGUAAAACUCUGUUGUUAGGGAAGAACAAGUGCUAGUUGAAUAAGCUGGCACCUUGACGGUACCUAACCAGAAAGCCACGGCUAACUACGUGCCAGCCGCCGCAGUAA